UACAUGGUGUCAGGUGUAAAAACUAUAAAAGUUUGAGUAAAUUUCGUACAUUCGUACUUAGAUAUUAGUAAGCUGGACUCUGCUGCGAUAUAAGUAGAAGCCAACAGCAAUGGAAUCAUACUUUAAACCUCCAGAUCCUUUAUCCAUUGAAGGAAGCCUAGCCGAUAACUAGCAAAAAUUUGAACAAAAAUUCCAAAAUUUUCUGACUGCUACAAGUUUAAGCAAUGAAAAUGAUGAAAAAAGGUUGCAAUUCUAUUGAACUUAGUUAGUGAUGAUGGUUAUGAUUUAUUUAACUCUUUUGAUCCGUUACCGGAGACCCAGAAAACUCUUGAUAAUGUCUUGAAAAAAUUUAUAGAUCACUGUGAACCAAAGAGAAAUGUUAUAUAUGAAAGUUUAUUAUUUAACAAUAUAACGCAACAAGAGGGACAAAGUUUCGAUAGUUUUCUGACAGAAUUAAGAACAGCAGGAAAAACAACUGGUUAUGGUAAUUUAUUAGAAGAAUUCAUAAGAGAUAGGAUAGUGAUGGACAUCUACAACCACAGCACUAGAGAAGAAUUGUCAAGAAAAUCUUAUCUAAAGUUGACACAAGCAAUAGACAUCUGUAGAACAAGAGAAGUUAGUCAAAAACAGCUGAAGGCUUUGCAGAAUGAAGCUAGUGUUAGUUCUGUAAAAUCUAAGCAUUUUUUUAUAGAAAAAAAGAAGGGAAAUGUGAAUUCUGUGGCUAUGUACAUCAAGAGAAAAAUUCAUGUCCUGCUUGGAAUAAAACAUGUGCAAAAUAUCAUGAUACCAAAACCUAAUAUAGUCACGUGAUAAAAAAACCGGCCAAACUAAACUUAUAGGAGGAGAUGUAUUAUAUAGGUAAUCAAUUAUAUAUUUAUUUCAUAGCUAUGCCGCCACCUUUGUACAAGUCAAUUAAAAGUUACAAUUAAUUGGCUCAAUAGACAUGGAGGGUCGAAGCCAGUGUUUUGUACUUUCUAAUAGAGACCUUUGGUUAACAUGUUUUAAUAAAUACUUGGAGUGAAA